UACGGAGGAUGCAAGCGUUAUCCGGAAUGAUUGGGCGUAAAGCGUCCGCAGGUGGCUGUGUAAGUCUGCUGUUAAAGAGCAAAGCUUAACUUUGUAAAAGCAGUGGAAACUACAUAGCUAGAGUGCGUUCGGGGUAGAGGGAAUUCCUGGUGUAGCGGUGAAAUGCGUAGAGAUCAGGAAGAACACCGGUGGCGAAGGCGCUCUACUAGGCCGCAACUGACACUGAGGGACGAAAGCUAGGGGAG
rnacentral:rRNA from 1 species